GUUGCAUUAUAUAAUGUCUGCACUUCAUUUGCGUAAACCAGAACACCCCUUUAAGCAUGCCUUUAAUGUGCAAUUUCAACACAGUGGGCUUGUGCCCCGGAUGUUUUCAGACCCUAGCAACGCCCUAGCCGAAGGGGUUCGAGCCAAGUGAGAAGGUUUGGGCUAAAAGAAGAGGUUCAUACCAAAAGAAGGGUAUCAGGCCAAGUAAGGAGAUUUGGGCUAAGAGAGGGGGUUCAAGCCAAGUGAAUGGAUUCAGAAUAAGUGUGGGGGUUCAAGCAAAGUGAAGCAGUUCAAGCCAAGUGAAGGGAUUUGGGCUAAGAGAAGGGGUUCAAACCAAGUGAAGGGGUUCAGGCUAAAAGAGGGGGUUCAAGCCAAGUGAAGGGGUUCGGGCUAAGAGAGUGGGUUCAAGCCAAGUGAAGGGGUUCGGGGUAAGAGGGGGUUCAAGCCAAGUGAAGGGGUUCGGGGUAAGAGAGGGGGUUCAAGCCAAGUGAAGGGGUUCGGGGUAAGAGAGGGGGUUCAAGCCAAGUGAAGGAGUUCGGGGUAAGAGAGGGGGUUCAAGCCAAGUGAAGGAGUUCGGGCUAAGAGAGGGGGUUCAAGCCAAGUGAAGGAGUUCGGGCUAAGAGAGGGGGUUCAAGCCAAGUGAAGGAGUUCGGGCUAAGAGAGGGGGUUCAAGCCAAGUGAAGGGGUUGGGGCUAAGAGAGGGGGUUUAAGCCAAGUGAGGAGGUUCAGGCUAACAGAAGGGGUUCAAGCCAAGUGAAAGUUGAGAGGUGAAAUUCCAAGACUCCAAGACUUUUUACUAAACCCUGGAAAUCUAAUUCUCUUUGUGUCCAUUUUCUUGACAACCCUAUUAAAUCAAAUAAUCACAAAGCAAAUAAAAUGGUGUCCGAGUUGUCGGUAUGGUGCGGAUACUCCUGUUCCCACUCUCAGGAAGUGAAGCAAAAUACAGAGAAGCAAAUAA